rnacentral:rRNA from 1 species
ACUCGAAGAGCGAACGGCUGGCGGCAGGGCCUAAUACAUGCAAGUCGAACGGUCUCUUCGGAGGCAGUGGCGGACGGGUGAGUAACGCGUGGGAACGUGCCCUUUGGUACGGAACAACUGAGGGAAACUUCAGCUAAUACCGUAUGUGCCCUUCGGGGGGAAAAGAUUUAUCGCCAUUGGAGCGGCCCGCGUUGGAUUAGCUAGUUGGUGGGGUAAUGGCCCACCAAGGCGACGAUCCAUAGCUGGUCUGAGAGGAUGAUCAGCCACACUGGGACUGAGACACGGCCCAGACUCCUACGGGAGGCAGCAGUAGGGAAUCUUGCGCAAUGGGCGAAAGCCUGACGCAGCCAUGCCGCGUGAAUGAUGAAGGUCUUAGGAUUGUAAAAUUCUUUCACCGGGGACGAUAAUGACGGUACCCGGAGAAGAAGCCCCGGCUAACUUCGUG